rnacentral:lncRNA from 1 species
AUUCUGUACUAGAUCAGGAGAGAGAAUGUUGGUUCAAAUCUAAGAUGCAGAGCAGAUUGGUUAAGGACUAAGUUAGUUGAUCAUUUCCUAAGACAAGACUAGGACUAGCAGCAAAGGUGGUAUGGAUACUAUCAAGAUGAGAGGAGAAGUGGACAAACUGAAAACUAGUUCAAGGUCUAACUUUACAAACAUGACCUACCCACUGUGGCAUCCCUCUUACGCUUAGCCUGAUGUGCUUUGGUAGAGGAAGCACCACCCAUAUGAGUCUGCAUUUGCCAAAGGUGCCUUAGAAGAAAGGGAAAGAACUGGAACAGGUCAGCAAGUCCCAUGCUAAUGGGACUCAUGUCAAGCUGGGUCAAGUUGGGGUGUAGAUCUCUCAUUGAGAGCUAAAGCAUGGCGCUAAAAUAAGGGAAAGCAGAGACAUAGAAAACAAUCAAAUCUGAAGAAACCAGAGGAUGGAGAUGGAGGCUGUAGAACAAGGUGGGAAUGGAAGCUGGUGGAGAACAAUAAGAAUGGUUGGUCUCCAGUGAGGAUCAAUUUCCAGGACAUG